rnacentral:rRNA from 1 species
GACGGCUACCACAUCUAAGGAAGGCAGCAGGCACGCAAAUUACCCACUCCCGGCACGGGGAGGUAGUGACGAAAAAUAACGAUGCGGGACUCAUCCGAGGCCCCGUGAUCGGAAUGAGCCGACUUCAACACAGUCGAGCGAGGAACAAUUGGAGGGCAAGUCUGGUGCCAGCAGCCGCGGUAAUUCCAGCUCCAAUAGCAUACACUAAACUUGUUGCGGUUAAAAAGCUCGUAGUUGGAUCUGGGUCGGCUGGCGGUCGGUUCGCCCUCCCCGGGCGUGACACUGGCCUGCCAGCGGACGUUCUGUGGCCGGUUGCAACUCCUGCCUGGGUGCUCUUCACUGAGUGCCCACGGUGGGCCGGCGAGUUUACUUUGAACAAAUCGGAGUGCUUCGAGCAGGCGAUUGCCGCCCGAACGCCUCUUGCAUGGAAUAAUGGAAAAGGACCUUGGUUCCUAUUUGCUGUUGGUCGUUCCGAACCUGAGGUAAUGAUUAACAGGGACGGACGUGGGCAUUCGUAUUGCGGCGUUAGAGGUGAAAUUCUUGGAUCGUCGCAAGACGGACUGAAGCGAAAGCGUCUGCCAAGGACGCUCUCAUUAAUCAAGAACGAAAGUCAGAGGUUCGAAGGCGAUUAGAUACCGCCCUAGUUUUGACCUUAAACGAUGCCAGCCAGCGAUCCGCCGAAGUUGCAAACUGAUGACUCGGCGGGAAGCUCCCGGUAAACCUACAGAGUCGGGUUCCGGGGGAAGUAUGGUUGCAAAGCUGAAACUUAAAGGAAUUGACGGAAGGGCACCACCAGGAGUGGAGCCUGCGGCUUAAUUUGACUCAACACGGGAAAACUCACCAGGCCCAGACACUGGAAGGAUUGACAGAUCGAGAGCUCUUUCUUGAUUCAGUGGGUGGUGGUGCAUGGCCGUUCUUAGUUGGUGGAGCGAUUUGUCUGGUUAAUUCCGAUAACGAACGAGACUCCAGCCUGCUAACUAGUAUGGGGAAGCUCUUCACGGGCUUCCACCAGGUACUUCUUCUUAGAGGGACAGGCUGCUUACAGCAGCACGAAACGGAGCAAUAACAGGUCUGUGAUGCCCUUAGAUGUUCUGGGCCGCACGCGUGCUACACUGGUGGAAUCAGCGUGUCAUCCCUGGCCGAGAGGUCUGGGUAACCAGCUGAACCUCGACCGUGUUUGGGAUUGGGGAUUGCAAUUAUUCCCCAUGAACGAGGAAUUCCUAGUAGGCGCGAGUCAUAAGCUCGCGUCGAUUACGUCCCUGCCCUUUGUACACACCGCCCGUCGCUACUACCGAUUGAAUGAUUUAGUGAGGGCUUUGGACUGGAGACCGGCGAUUCAACUUCCAGCCCUGCCGCGAGGUGGGUGUCUGGGGGUCGCCGACUCUUCAGGAAGAUGUCCGAACUUGAUCAUUUAGAGGAAGUAAAAGUCGUAACAAGGUUUCC